rnacentral:rRNA from 1 species
UGCAGAAUCCCGUGAACCAUCGAGUUUUUGAACGCAAGUUGCGCCCGAAGCCAUUAGGCCGAGGGCACGCCUGCCUGGGCGUCACGCAUCGCGUCGCCCCCCGCACGCCUCGCCCCGAACGGGACGACGGUCGCGCACGGGGGCGGAAAAUGGCCUCCCGUACUCUGCUUGCGGUUGGCCCAAACCCGAGUCCCUCUCGUCACGGACGUCACGACAAGUGGUAGCAGAAACCUCGAACUCGAACGCGAGUCGUGCGCACCUCGUGGCCGAGGAGACCCUUAGACCCUACGCUGAGUCCCUCUCCGGGGACGCUCGCAACGACUGCGACCCCAGGUCAGGCGGGGCCACCCGCCGAGUUUAAGCAUAUCAAUAAGCGGAGGAAAAGAAACUAACAAGGAUUCCCUUAGUAACGGCGAGCGAACCGGGAAGAGCCCAAGCUUAGAAUCGGGCAGCUUCGCUGUUCGA